rnacentral:rRNA from 1 species
UACGUAGGGCGCAAGCGUUAUCCGGAAUUAUUGGGCGUAAAGAGCUCGUAGGCGGUUUGUCGCGUCUGCCGUGAAAGUCCGGGGCUCAACUCCGGAUCUGCGGUGGGUACGGGCAGACUAGAGUGAUGUAGGGGAGACUGGAAUUCCUGGUGUAGCGGUGAAAUGCGCAGAUAUCAGGAGGAACACCAACAGCGAAGGCAGAUCUCUGGGACGUAACUGACGCUGAGACGCGAAAGCGUGGGGAGCAAACAGG